rnacentral:misc_RNA from 1 species
GGAAGGAUCAUUACCGAGUUAGGGUGUCGUCCUCGACGCCCGACCUCCUAAACCCACUGUUUACCUGACCUUAUCGUUGCUUCGGCAGGCCCGCCCAUAUCGGGCCGCCGGGGGGUUGGCUCACCGCCCUCCCUGGCCCGCGCCUGCCGACGGCCCCCCACAAAACUCUUGUUGAUAAACGUGUCGUCUGAGUUUUCGGCCAUCGAUGGAUGGUUUAAAUACAAACAUAAAACUUUCAACAACGGAUCUCUUGGUUCUGGCAUCGAUGAAGAACGCAGCGAAAUGCGAUAAGUAAUGCGAAUUGCAGAAUCCGUGAGUCAUCGAAUCUUUGAACGCACAUUGCGCCCUUUGGUAUUCCGAAGGGCAUGCCUGUUCGAGCGUCAUUAUCACCCCUCAAGCCCCGGCUUGUUGUUGAGCGCCCGGCGCCUCACCCGCGCCCGCUCCAAAGAUAAUGACGGCGUCUGUGAGGACUCCAGUACAUUGAGCUCUCGGGCACGUACUCGGCACGAAUCCAGACCCGGUCACAACUUUUUUACUUAUCAAGGUUGACCUCGGAUCAGGUAGGAAUACCCGCUGAACUUAAGCAUAUCAAUAAGCGGAGGAAAAGAAACCAACAGGGAUUGCCUUAGUAACGGCGAGUGAAGCGGCAACAGCUCAAAUUUGAAAUCUGGCUCCUUCGGGGUCCGAGUUGUAAUUUGUAGAGGAUGUUUCGGGCACGGUCCGGGCUUAAAUUUCUUGGAACAGAAUGUCAGAGAGGGUGAGAAUCCCGUCUGGAGUCUGUCGACACGGCCUAUGUGAAACUCCUUCGACGAGUCGAGUUGUUUGGGAAUGCAGCUCUAAAUGGGUGGUAAAUUUCAUCUAAAGCUAAAUAUUGGCCAGAGACCGAUAGCGCACAAGUAGAGUGAUCGAAAGAUGAAAAGCACUUUGAAAAGAGAGUUAAACAGUAUGUGAAAUUGUUGAAAGGGAAGCGCUGGCAACCAGACUUGCGCGUCGCGGUUCCCCCUGGCUUCUGCCUGGGUUACUCCGCGGCGUUCAGGCCAACAUCGGUUUCGGGGGUCGGUUAAAGGCCCGGGGAAUGUACCUACUCUUCGGGGUAGACUUAUAGCCCUGGGUGUCAUGCGACCUCCCGGGACCGAGGAACGCGCUUCGGCUCGGAUGUUGGCGUAAUGGUUGUCAGCGACCCGUCUUGAAACACGGACCAAGGAGUCUAACAUCUAUGCGAGUGUUCGGGUGUCAAACCCUUACGCGGAAUGAAAGUGAACGGAGGUAGGAAGCCUUGAGGCUGCACUAUCGACCGAUCCUGAAGUUUACGGAUGGAUUUGAGUAAGAGCAUAGCUGUUGGGACCCGAAAGAUGGUGAACUAUGCCUGAAUAGGGUGAAGCCAGAGGAAACUCUGGUGGAGGCUCGCAGCGGUUCUGACGUGCAAAUCGAUCGUCAAAUUUGGGUAUAGGGGCGAAAGACUAAUCGAACCAUCUGGUAGCUGGUUCCUGC